CCCCCCUUACUUUAUCUUCUCCUUUGAAUAUUUAAGGUAGCCAUGCCAGUAUUAGUUGUCCUAGGUCUUCCUCUACUACAUUACAAAUGAUAAUAAAUCAGUCUCUGUAUAUCCUUUAUACGUAUAUCCUUUCUACAGCUAUUUCUUUUUAGUGAAAGAUCUUUGAUAGAGUGUGUUUAUUUUGGAAAGAAGAAUGAAUUUCAUGGACACAGUUUAUACUAGGUCAUGGGUGGUUUAACAAAGGGAUUCUUACAUGAGUUUUUUGGCAUUCUGUCCACCUCCUUCAUUCACUCUAGUUUGUGUAUCUUUAGAUAUAUCUCUAUCUGAUCUAUGUAGUUUUACAAGAUUUUACAUCUACAUAUCAAGAUUCAUACACAAUUAUGUUUCCUAGCUAGAAACGACACUUGAGUUGAGUCUAAUCUGGUAAGUAAAUAAACAGACAUAGAGGAGUUUUCAGAUGGAGGUGGGCAUACUGCCAACAGAGCUGUGCAAGUCUCUCUUUGCAAAACCCCUUCUGAUCCAUCCCAGCCUCUUCAUCUGAUCUUCAUCUUAUACUGUGUUUAUGCUUGGCUAUACAGCAAAUCAUAUAUGCAUGUUUGGGGUAAAGAGAAACCAGGAGAAGUUAAAGCCCCUCAUCAUUGUCUGCUGCUCUUGUGGGGACUGGGGAGAUAAAACAAGUCAGCUCUCUGUGGAGGAGGUAAUUAACAAAUCUUAUAAUUUCAAUUUUUCUUUACUUAAUGAGUUAAUGUAUCCUUUAUUAGCAUUGUCCAUCAGCCCUCUCUUUUUUCCUUAUGUUUUCUUGUUGCACAUUUUCUUUGAACUCCGUCACAUAUAUGGGUAGUACCAAAGAGGAGAAAUCAAAGAGGCACUCGAGCGUACACAUCCAUUCUCUAAAACAGAAAGAAACACUUUGAAAAUGAUGUGGGGUUGGGUCACUGAUUCAAUUCAAAUCCAUUGAUCAUGCUGUCUUGAAACAAGGUGGAACCCAAUUCUGCUUGUUGCAUUAUGAUCCUGAGUAACUCGAAUACAACAUGACUUAAAUGUUAGAUGACCGCCAAUUUCUCCUCUACAUCUAGAUGUCUAUAUAAAAUUUAUUGGAUAUUUCUGUGGAAGGAUUAAUUGCAAUACACUUCUCAUAUACAGAUUUUUUGCUUCCCUGAUAUAGCAUCUCAACCAGGGGUUGUCAAAAUAAUUGUCAAGCUUCCGAAUCAUAAUCAUCAUAUAUAUUAAUAUUUAUUUUUUACUAAA